rnacentral:rRNA from 1 species
UACGUAGGGUGCAAGCGUUAUUCGGAAUUACUGGGCGUAAAGCGCUCGUAGGCGGUUUUGUAAGUCUGUCGUGAAAGCCCCGGGCUCAACCUGGGAAUUGCGAUGGAGACUGCAAGGCUUGAAUCUGGCAGAGGGGGGUAGAAUUCCACGUGUAGCAGUGAAAUGCGUAGAGAUGUGGAGGAACACCGAUGGCGAAGGCAGCCCCCUGGGUCAAGAUUGACGCUCAUGCACGAAAGCGUGGGGAGCAAACAGG